CGACGGUCGGGGGGCGAGAGGCUGCCGGGCGGGCGGGCCAAUGGCGUUGCGUCUCGCGGUCCGCACGUUGUGCGUAAGGAGGUGCGGCCGUCGCAUGCGCAGACCUGUUGGCGGUGGAGGCGGGGGUUGCCUGCCUGCCUGGCGGCUCGGCGGAGAUGGACCCGAGUUACGGCGGUUAUGGAGCUUGGAGUGCUGCAGCUGCCAACCCUCAGGCCCAGCUGAAUUGAAGAGCUGGAAAGCAGCCUGAAACAUGCUCAUGGCUGUUUGGGCUCAAAGUUGCUAAACUUUCUGGUACAUAUGCAACCACUGCAGCGAGCUGGCAAGGUAGGUGUCUAGGAAUUUGUCCAUGCUUGGGGGUGGUGUGUGUGUCGGGGGGAGGGGGGCCGCGCAGAGGGGAAAGAGUACGUGUGUGUGUUUGGGGGU
rnacentral:lncRNA from 1 species